CUGCGGGUGUUAGUACAGCGGCGAACGGGUGAGUAACACGUGAAUAAUCUGCCCUAGGCUGGGGGACAACCAGAGGAAACUCUGGCUAAUACCGCAUGAGGCGCCAUUACAUAAGUAGUGGUACGAAAAUUGCCUUGUGCUUUGGCUUAGGAUGAGUUCGCGGCGGAUUAGCUUGUUGGUGGGGUAAUGGCCUACCAAGGCGACGAUCCGUAGCUGGUCUGAGAGGACGAUCAGCCACACUGGGACUGAGACACGGCCCAGACUCC
rnacentral:rRNA from 1 species